rnacentral:rRNA from 1 species
AACGCNGGCGGCAGGCCUAACACAUGCAAGUCGAGCGGUAGAGAGAAGCUUGCUUCUCUUGAGAGCGGCGGACGGGUGAGUAAUGCCUAGGAAUCUGCCUGGUAGUGGGGGAUAACGUUCGGAAACGGACGCUAAUACCGCAUACGUCCUACGGGAGAAAGCAGGGGACCUUCGGGCCUUGCGCUAUCAGAUGAGCCUAGGUCGGAUUAGCUAGUUGGUGGGGUAAUGGCUCACCAAGGCGACGAUCCGUAACUGGUCUGAGAGGAUGAUCAGUCACACUGGAACUGAGACACGGUCCAGACUCCUACGGGAGGCAGCAGUGGGGAAUAUUGGACAAUGGGCGAAAGCCUGAUCCAGCCAUGCCGCGUGUGUGAAGAAGGUCUUCGGAUUGUAAAGCACUUUAAGUUGGGAGGAAGGGCAGUUACCUAAUACGUAUCUGUUUUGACGUUACCGACAGAAUAAGCACCGGCUAACUCUGUGCCAGCAGCCGCGGUAAUACAGAGGGUGCAAGCGUUAAUCGGAAUUACUGGGCGUAAAGCGCGCGUAGGUGGUUUGUUAAGUUGGAUGUGAAAUCCCCGGGCUCAACCUGGGAA